UACGGAGGGUGCAAGCGUUGCUCGGAAUUAUUGGGCGUAAAGGGCAGGUAGGUGGUCUCAUUUGUCUGGGGUGAAAUCCUUGGGCUUAACUCAAGAAGUGCCCCAGAAACGGUGAGACUAGAGUACUGGAGAGGGUCGUGGAAUUCCCGGUGUAGCGGUGAAAUGCGUAGAGAUCGGGCGGAACACCAGCGGCGAAGGCGGCAUCCUGGUCCUGUUCUGACGCUGAGGCGCGAGAGCGUGGGGAGCGAACUGG
rnacentral:rRNA from 1 species